GAUGAACGCUAGCGGGAGGCCUAACACAUGCAAGCCGAGCGGUAUAGAAUCUUCGGAUUUUAGAGAGCGGCGUACGGGUGCGGAACACGUGUGCAACCUACCUUUAUCUUGGGGAUAGCCUUUCGAAAGGAAGAUUAAUACCCGAUAAUAUAUAAUAUGGCAUCAUAACAUAUUGAAAGCUCCGGCGGAUAGAGAUGGGCACGCGCAAGAUUAGUUAGUUGGUGAGGUAACGGCUCACCAAGACGAUGAUCUUUAGGGGCCUGAGAGGUGAUCCCCCACACUGGUACUGAGACACGGACCAGACUCCUACGGGAGGCAGCAGUGAGGAAUAUUGGACAAUGGGUGCAAGCCUGAUCCAGCCAUCCCGCGUGAAGGACGACUGCCCCUAUGGGUUGUAAACUUCUUUGUAUAGGGAUAAACCUCUCCUCGUGAGGAGAGCUGAAGGUACUAUACGAAUAAGCAACCCGGCUAACUCCGUGCCAGCAGCCGCGGUAAU
rnacentral:rRNA from 1 species